UCGAGAUGUUUGCAUUUCCUUUUAAAUGCAAGAGGAAGUCUUGGAAAGAGGUCAACAGAGGCAUGAGUUAAAUUUAAUUUAAAUUAAAAAAAAACAUGCUGGCAAUUUGGUUUGGAGCUCAGAGGAGAGGUCAGAGCUCGAGGUUUCGAGGCUUUCGAGGCUUUCGUCCAGAUAAAGGUCAACUGCGAUCCAGAAGCAGGUGAUCCUCCUUCUGACAUCUGGUCAGAAGGUCAAGAGCAGCCUAACACUAUGUCACAGCACCUACAUCAUUCACCUCACUUCAUCUCAUCACAUGGGCAGUUGAUCAUCUCACACCAUCCCAAGAAGAAGGGGCAGUAGUAAGGAUCUGUUUUUCAUUUAAUGGUCUUUCUCAAGGAACUUCUGAGAAAUCGGAUAACUCCUUUCUCCUGAGGGAAGAGACACAAGAGGAUGCCAAGCAAACGAGAGGCAGAGGUUGAGCCUCAAGGCUGCUCUAAAUUCAGUUGUUCUGCCUCCCGUCCCACAUGGCUUCUUGGUGCAUGGACCUCAGUUUCUUUGGGACUGCAUGAAGUUGCUGUAUUUUGAAAUGCUCCUGAGCUUAAAAUAUAUGAAAAAAUGAAAUACUAUCAAAAUGAAUAGACUGUGGAUCCUAAAUGCAUGAACUCUGAGAAACUGGAACAUUAAGUAAUAUUUAUUUGUGGAGCCACUGUCUACUUGGUACAUGUGAGUUGACAGAGAUGAACUCCUACUACAAUGAACAUCAACUCAGAGAUGGCUAGAAGAGUAUUCCCAACUUACUGCAUUCUACUGACCAGGGGAGGAGAAACUCUUCACAGCACUUGCUGUCCAAUGGAAUAACAACUUGAAUGUCUAAGAUGCUGAUUCAGCAGAACCAAAUGCUGUGUUACUGCAAUAUUCCAGGAAAGUCUGUUCAUAUUUAUAGACUUUCAUUUCCUUCUCUGAAGAGCAGGAACUAUGUGAAUACAAUUCAUAUCCUGAACAUGGUGGGGCUCAAGCUGGUAUAAAAACUUUAUCUUUCACAGGAUGGAGAUAAUUUUUUUAUGAGAGAACUUCUUCUUUUCUCUCUUUUUUUUUUUUAACCAAUCAUAAUCCUUAAAAGAAUAAAUCAACAUCAGUGUCAGGGUGCAAGAAUGAUGCAGUGAGUCAUUCUUCCUAUUACCUUGCCGAAAGGUGAUAAGCCUUUAAUUCUUGUCCUGAAAUACCCAGCAGAAACUAAGAGCUCCAGAAUUUCAGUCAACUUGACAGUUUGUUUUUUAUCUUCUCUUUUCCACCUCCUGGAGACCUUGGUUAUCCUGUCUAUUGGGGAACACCAUGAUUCAUUGGGGUUUUGGUUGACUGUAAUAAAAUCUAAGGAGCAACUGGAGGAAGCCGUCUCUGUUUUGUGAAAUUGUUACCAGGGUAGAGUAUCCCCCUUUUCUUUAAAUAUUAAGUAUUUAAGGUUUCUUUUUGUUAUAUAAUAUAUAAACAGACCGCCUUAACACAUUGCUUUUUGAUUUGACAGAGAAGUGCUUAAGAGCUUCAGGAAAGGAGAAAAUGUGUUUGUGAGUAUGUAAGUGUUGGGGGAGGGACAUCAUAAGAAAAUAAAACUGGAGUGCAACAUAGAUGCAAAAAUCCUUAAUAAAAUGCUGUUCUCUCUCCUUAUUUCAAAGCCUUAUAGCUAGUUGUUCAUUAGCUUGAUUCACUUAGAUGACUCAAACAAACUUGUUAAAAAUAGCGUUUCCCAUCUUUGCACCUAAGCCUAUUUCUUUGCCUUUGCUUUCUAUCUCAGGGAAUGGCACCUUCACCCACUCAGGUGCUUGAGAUGGAACAUGGGGAUAGAGAGAGGGAGUGGUUACCAUUGAGUUCCACCUUCUCUCAGUCCUGGAUUGAAUCUAUCCUGCCUAUGAAUUUUACAACUUAAAUGUCUUUUGGAACUAUAAACUUCUCUUCACUCCCACUUUCACUUUCCUUAUUAUCUUCUCUAACUCUCUUAUGGAUCCAAGCAAGGCUUCUAAUUGAUUUCUCAUCUUGUAAAUCAAUCCUUUUCAAUAACUUAUCUGCUUUUCAGUCAGCAUGAUUUUACUAAAACACUUGUCUGAUCAUUAUUGCUUUCCUGAUUAAAACCACUAAUGACUUUCUGUUACCCUUAAGGUAAGUUCCAGAUUCCUUAAAUUGACCUAUAAGAUCCUUUUUCUUGGCCCCUGAAUGCCUUUUCCAGCCUUUUAUUACCAUUCCUGUGUUCUUUAUGCUGUUAUUCUACUGCAUUUUUUUUUUUUUAAGUUCCUUCUACAUGCCAUGCUUUCUUUUUCCUCUGUACCCUUGUUCCUGUUCUUCCCUCUACUUGGAUCUUUUUUUCAAAAAAGAUUUCAUCUGGUUUCAUUUGACUAUUUUCUAUAUUAUUCAUACUUCUUCACGUAUCACUUAAACGAACUUUCUCUCCUAGAUAUCACCUACACAUUUUUCCUUCCCCUCAUCAACAAGUCUGGGUAAGGUGCUCCUCCGAAGUGCUCCCACAACACCUAUUACUUAACCCAGUGAAUUAUAAUUAUCUGGUUUCUUGCCAGUAUUUCCCACUAGACAACUUCUUCUCCUUCUUGUUUUUGUUCUUCUUGUUCUUAUGCUGGUUCUGAUUCCUGUUCCUAUUCUUGUUCUUGUCCUUCUCUUUCUUCUUUAAAUUAUUGUAUCUUGGAACAUAGAGGAUACUCAAUAAAUAUUUGUUGAGGAAAUGGAUGGAUGGAAGCAUGAAUGAAUAAAUGAAUGAAUGAUUACUUUUCCAGGGAGUCUACCAUCUGUUAUCAGUGUGACUUCUGUCAGAAAUUCAUAUGUUCUUGAUACCUAUAAUUAAAUUCUGACUGUAAACUUAUAAAAUAGCUUCCAUAUAACAUUGAAUUUCGCCAUAUUUAUAAGUUAAUUUUCUAUUCUUUCUGUUAGUAUUUCUUCUGUUUGCUUUUUAUGAGAUAAUCUGUUUGUAUUUUUUUAAAAUCUGCCUUUUACCUGUUAUAAGUAGAAUACCUAUUUUGUAAAAUUGUUCAACAAAGACCCAAAUUAGGAGGAAAAUUGACAAGGCACUGAUAUAUAAGAUGCUCAUUUAAAACAUUAUAAACAUAGAAUGGGUCAACCAGGAAAUUAAAGAAGAAUUAAAAAAAUUCAUGGAAACCAAUGAAAAUGAAAACACAACUGUUCAAAAUCUUUGGGAUGCAGCAAAGGCAGUCCUAAGAGGAAA